rnacentral:rRNA from 1 species
UGCUGGAGCGAAUAGAAGUGAGCAUGCAGGCAUGAGUAGCGAUAAUUAAUGUGAGAAUCAUUAACGCCGUAAACCCAAGGUUUCCUACGCGAUGCUCGUCAUCGUAGGGUUAGUCGGGUCCUAAGUCGAGUCCGAAAGGGGUAGACGAUGGCAAAUUGGUUAAUAUUCCAAUACCAACAUUAGUGUGCGAUGGAAGGACGCUUAGGGCUAAGGGGGCUAGCGGAUGGAAGUGCUAGUCUAAGGUCGUAGGAGGUUAUACAGGCAAAUCCGUAUAACAAUACUCCGAGAACUGAAAGGCUUUUUGAAGUCUUCGGAUGGAUAGAAGAACCCCUGAUGCCAUCGAGCCAAGAAAAGUUUCUAAGUUUAGCUAAUGUUGCCCGUACCGUAAACCGACACAGGUGGGUGGGAUGAGUAUUCUAAGGCGCGUGGAAGAACUCUCUUUAAGGAACUCUGCAAAAUAGCACCGUAUCUUCGGUAUAAGGUGUGGUUCGCUUCGUAUUAGGAUUUACUCCGAAAGCGAAGAAACUUACAACAAAGAGUCCCUCCCGACUGUUUACCAAAAACACAGCACUCUGCUAACUCGUAAGAGGAUGUAUAGGGUGUGACGCCUGCCCGGUGCUCGAAGGUUAAUUGAUGGGGUUAGCAUUAGCGAAGCUCUUGAUCGAAGCCCGAGUAAACGGCGGCCGUAACUAUAACGGUCCUAAGGUAGCGAAAUUCCUUGUCGGUUAAAUACCGACCUGCAUGAAUGGCGUAACGAGAUGGGAGCUGUCUCAAAGAGGGAUCCAGUGAAAUUGUAGUGGAGGUGAAAAUUCCUCCUACCCGCGGCAAGACGGAGAGACCCCGUGGACCUUUACUACAGCUUGACACUGCUAUUUGGAUAAGAAUGUGCAGGAUAGGUGGGAGGCUUUGAGUAUAUGACGCCAGUUGUAUAUGAGCCAUUGUUGAGAUACCACUCUUUCUUAUUUGGGUAGCUAACCAGCUUGAGUUAUCCUCAAGUGGGACAAUGUCUGGUGGGUAGUUUGACUGGGGCGGUCGCCUCCCAAAUAAUAACGGAGGCUUACAAAGGUUGGCUCAGAACGGUUGGAAAUCGUUCGUAGAGUAUAAAGGUAUAAGCCAGCUUAACUGCAAGACAUACAAGUCAAGCAGAGACGAAAGUCGGUCUUAGUGAUCCGGUGGUUCUGUGUGGAAGGGCCAUCGCUCAAAGGAUAAAAGGUACCCCGGGGAUAACAGGCUGAUCUCCCCCAAGAGCUCACAUCGACGGGGAGGUUUGGCACCUCGAUGUCGGCUCAUCGCAUCCUGGGGCUGGAGCAGGUCCCAAGGGUAUGGCUGUUCGCCAUUUAAAGCGGUACGCGAGCUGGGUUCAGAACGUCGUGAGACAGUUCGGUCCCUAUCUGCCGUGGGCGUAAGAAGAUUGAAGAGAUUUGACCCUAGUACGAGAGGACCGGGUUGAACAAACCACUGGUGUAGCUGUUGUUCUGCCAAGAGCAUCGCAGCGUAGCUAAGUUUGGAAAGGAUAAACGCUGAAAGCAUCUAAGCGUGAAGCCAACUCUAAGAUGAAUCUUCUCUAAGCUCUCUAGAAGACUACUAGUUUGAUAGGCUGGGUGUGUAAUGGAUGAAAGUCCUUUAGCUGACCAGUACUAAUAGAGCGUUUGGCUUAUCUUUAAUAAAGCAU